ensembl:lncRNA
CUCUUUUCCUCCUAUCGAUGUAAACAAACAGCCUGUGCCACUGGAGCAAUGUUUAUGUUAGCAAAUACCCCGAGGUACUUCACAGAAAUCAAUCUGCAGAGAAAAAUUGCAUUAGACAAUAAAAAUUCAGCAACUCCCAAACUCGAGCCCAAGCCCUACUGCAUGUCAGGGGUGAAGGGUGAGGACAGAAAUGCGGAGGCCAACGCUGUUAAUUUUUCAGAGCUUAGCUCACAGAACGCCGCCCUCCGAGCCCUGAAUUCGCGCCAGUUACAACUCGGUUCGAUCAAAUUCAAGGACAGGAGAAACUGCGGGAGAGAAAGCAAGCAGAAUUGGCUACAAGCUGCAGGAAUACGUGUUCAGAGGAAACUUCUGCAGUGGAGCGAACCGGGAGGGAACCACUCACACAAAAACCAAAUGACUUGCAGCAGAUUAAUGGCCGCUAUUUAAUAUGUUCUUGUGAACCUGCAUGGAUCGUCACAGUGGCAACUGUCCUUACACAGCCUGCUUCAUCUGUCUGCGAACUGCUCCUGGGAGGUAUGGGCUGUACUGCACAGCAUGGGGCUGUGCCUGCACACGCGUGGGGCAGAGAUGGAGGUUCACAGGUCAGAGCAGAUAUGUACCUGUAGAGACAAAUCUGUAGCACAGCUUAUGUUCAUUUCAAAUCUGAUUCAGAAGUUUCCUUCUUGUCUCGAAAUGAAGUAGCUGCCUCUCCCAAUGAUUACCUGUGCUUGUUCCAGUAUGUAUAGGAGGCAGCUGACAAUGAAAUGUUGGGAAUAUGAAAGAAAGAAAAACGACGGUAAGGAGAGUUUUAAAAAGUUUGGGGGAAAAAAGUUAGUAGAAGUGGAAGUCAAAAAUUCUAUCUCUUUGGGUUCUUUUAACAAAUUACAUUAUUUGACCAAUCCAUGUAUUAUCUGUAAAUGCUGAGGCAGUGUCAAUUGUAUUUUUAGCAAAGAAAAGGAAGAAAAAGUGAAACAAAUCUGUCCUCUUGCUCGAAACCAGACACUUAAUGGCAGCCAGAGGCAUCUUGGUGCCCUAGCAGCUUUCAGCUGCCUGUGCCCAUUGCUCCUCCCCAGCUCGGCUGCAAGCAUACAGAAAAUGGAAAGCAAGGAUGGCUACCAGAGAGACAGCCUAGCAAAUAUUUUUCAGAAUAAC